GGCUGAGUGGCGCAACGGUAGCGCGUCUGAUUCCAGUCCAGAAGGUUAUCCGUUCGAAUCGGGUCUCGGUCA
rnacentral:tRNA from 1 species